rnacentral:rRNA from 1 species
UACAGAGGGUGCAAGCGUUAAUCGGAAUUACUGGGCGUAAAGCGUGCGUAGACGGUUGCGUAAGUCAGAUGUGAAAGCCCCGGGCUCAACCUGGGAAUUGCAUUUGAGACUGCGUAGCUAGGGUGCGGAAGAGGGAAGCGGAAUUUCCGGUGUAGCGGUGAAAUGCGUAGAUAUCGGAAGGAACACCAGUGGCGAAAGCGGCAUCCUGGACCAAUACUGACGCUGAGGAGCGAAAGCCAGGGGAGCAAACGGG